GUAAGAGAAGAUAAAUUGCGGCUGCUAACUGUAAUUUGGGGGUAUCUCCCUUCUCUUAUG
rnacentral:tRNA from 1 species